ensembl:lncRNA
GGGCCCCCAUGCUGUGCAUGUAAUUUCUUGUUUGCACAUGGUCCCAAACAUCUUUGACCACUGCAGAGCAGUGAAGCAAUGUUUAGAGAGACAGAGAGGUUGAACAAGACAAAAAAAAAGAUUGAGAGAAAAGGAAAGCGGGGGGAGAGAAAACAGGAUGAUAACAAAAGCAGCUCGGAUUUCACAGACGCAUAUUUCAUCAAUCAUGUGAAUAAGUCGUGGUGAUUAUGCAUGGCGGUGGCAGGCUGAGGGGGGGCUGAUUACCAUACACCAUAAAGGCUGCUUUCUUAUCUCACACACACUGAUUAGUUUCUGUCUGCAGAUAGCCUCUCACUCUUCGCUCUUUUACACACACACAUACUCUUGGGUUGCGUCUAUUCUUGUUCUACACAUGGCAUGUAUUCAUGCAAGCACACGCCCAAAAACGCACACACACAUACUCAAAAAAAUAAAAAUAAAACACUGUUUGUCCACUGCGGAUAUAUAUAUAAGCAUGUUCAGUCAAGAUCAUCAAAUAGCAGAAAGCAAAGGGUAAAAUAUCUUCUCAAAUUUGCAUCUUGCAUAAUGUAUCUUGUAAUUGAUUUUUAUCAUUUAUCAUAUUUUUUUUCCAACAGGAUAUCACUUUAAAUUUUUCAUUGAAGCUAGUCUGACUUUUCCUGUGUGGGGUAAACCCGAGCCUUAACACACUUUGUUGGACACCGUUGUUUGUCCCGAGCUGCAACAACAAUGAAAUCCAUCACAUGAAGGUCCAACUUCUCUACCAGCCAAACAGAAUGCUCGGUUAUGCGGCCCUGCAAAGUAUGGACGAUGGCUUCUUCAAGACCUGGAUCUUGUGAUUGCAUUCCGCGGCUUCCCCAUGCUUUACAAAUACUUCAGGUCUUUUAGUGUACCCGUGUACAAUCACUUGAUGCUCUCUUUUGUCCCAGUGGAAGAAUGUGGUGAUGGCGAGUUCCUCCGUCGCCUGGUGUCCGUAGAGGGUAAAGUCCUCUUCGCUGUGGAUCAGGGGAACGUCAAACUUAAUCACGGAUUUUCAUAGGAGAAAGCUGGUCAAGACAUUGUUGGCCACCUACGUCUUUGAUAAGUCUGCUCCUCCAAGGCUGGCAGCAUCGUGUGAAACACCUCCUUCUGGCCUCAGAAAAUGAAGAGAACUACAAAUAAAGAUGGCUGGUUGUAUGUACUAUAUUGUAUUUGCAUAGUGGGUAUUUUUGAGUCCAUGGGUUCGGUGUAGUCAGUUUGAGUUCACGUCUAUUUGGCUUUUUAUCAAAGAAAACACACUUUACAGUAUUCUACGGUCAGUAGUUUAUUUCCCAGAGUAUUUGUGAUUCGGAGUCACUGGAUGUUCAACAAAAUCAGGUCCAAUCUGACAACAACCACAAGUCACUAUGUGUUGAUUCUGUAUAAAAAAAUGUAAUGUGUUUCGAAAGAAACCGAAACAUCCAUUGGGUCCAUUGACUUUUCCAACAUGUGGUAUUACAGGAUCCAUUGAGUGAUUUCAACAUUCACGGAUUGUCAAAACAACAACAUGGUUAAUACAAAACAUUUCCUCAUCUCUGCAUCUCGUUUGGUCUGACCAACUACAAAUCAAAAAAGAACAAGAAAAACAUACAAUAUCAAAUUUGUGGUUAUUGAAACUUUUUUCCGCAAAAAAAACGUACAGAUGUAUAGCAUGUUCCUUUGUGCUGACAUUUUGAAAGACUUUAUUUCAAUUGCCAGUCAAAAUUAUUAAGACCAUCGCUGACCCUUUUCUGGUUGAGACGACUUCACAUGUCACCUCCUCGGGCUGCGCCCUGAGGCAGGACUCCGUCACAUACUCGACGGUUUUGAUCAUGAAGUACAAAGCGAGUCUGCCUCCAUCACUUUUUGGUCUCUGGCACCGACACGUGGCACAGAGGUUUCCAUCAUUUAAUCUACUUAAUUCUACGCUAAUUCGCUAACACAAACUUUGUCUCCGGUCCUUUCUUGUUUGCUUCCUCUCUUCUCCCCCUGUCCUCCGUGUUGCUGGCGUCCCCCCCGGGCCUGUGCUAUAAGGCGUGGAAUGGGAGCAUAGACAGAGCAUUUAGUAAUGGCUUCUUAAUGGGCUUGUCGACAGCCACAUUAGAGCGUACAGGCAGCGGGCGAGGCCGAGCAGCGAUAUGCCAAGCCAGAUGCCAUGCCAGCUGUGGCACUCCACUCUCUCACUUACGCUCUCAUUUGUAAUCACAUUUCUCAUACGGAUGGACGCCAUGUGCGUGAAGAAGAAAAAAAGGCAGACGCACAGGCAUGUCUCCUCCCAAUUCUGCUCAGUUGUUGGGAGCUGAUGACAUCAAUGGGGACGUUGUGGUGUUAAAAAGGAAAUGUAAACCGUGAUUGGUGGUCUGUGGAGGAACCUUUUAAGGAAAAUUGGGGUUUAUCUCAGAAAAUAAUGACUGUUAACAAAAGGAAAACAUCAACAAAGAUCUCACAAGCGGCUCAUAUAUAUACUUUUGAAUACAUGUUUUUAUUGUAUAGGAUUGUAUUCCUUUUGCUACACCGCUGCCUGCUUUCAGGAAUGGGACUCCCUGGACCUCCUGAGCCUCCUUCUGUAUGAGCAUUCAGCUGCAUUUGAAUUGUUUUAACAUGUGCUCAAGUGUCUUAAAUGUUAUGUACUACAGUCUCUGCCAGCACUCUGCUCAAGCCUGAGUCACUGUGGAGCAUCACGUCCGCC